rnacentral:misc_RNA from 1 species
UCUCCGUAGGUGAACCUGCGGAGGGAUCAUUACAGAGUUCAUGCCCUACCGGGUAGAUCUCCCACCCUAUGUUAUUAUUACUUUGUUGCUUUGGCGGGCCGUUAGGCUCCGGCCCGACUACCGGCCCCGGCUGGUAAGCGCCCGCCAGAGGACCCAAAACCCUGAAUAUUAGUGUCGUCUGAGUACAAUAUAAUAGUUAAAACUUUCAACAACGGAUCUCUUGGUUCUG